rnacentral:sRNA from 1 species
GCUCGGACGACGCGCGGUGUUGUACGG